rnacentral:rRNA from 1 species
UGGGGAAUAUUGGACAAUGGGCGGAAGCCUGAUCCAGCCAUGCCGCGUGUGUGAAGAAGGCCUUUUGGUUGUAAAGCACUUUAAUCGAGGAGGAGGCUACUUGGAUUAAUACUCUAGGAUAGUGGACGUUACUCGCAGAAUAAGCACCGGCUAACUCUGUGCCAGCAGCCGCGGUAAUACAGAGGGUGCGAGCGUUAAUCGGAUUUACUGGGCGUAAAGCGUGCGUAGGCGGCUUCUUAAGUCGGAUGUGAAAUCCCUGAGCUUAACUUAGGAAUUGCAUUCGAUACUGGGAAGCUAGAGUAUGGGAGAGGAUGGUAGAAUUCCAGGUGUAGCGGUGAGAUGCGUAGAGAUCUGGAGGAAUACCGAUGGCGAAGGCAGCCAUCUGGCCUAAUACUGACGCUGAGGUACGAAAGCAUGGGGAGCAAACAGG